UAAGAUAAAUAGGAUGAUAAUAUUUUGUCAGGUCUGAAUUUCAGUAUCUAACCAAUUAACACUGGUCCUUUGGAUAUAUUUAUGUGGUAUGAUACUGGGCUUUGUGCCAUCUGGCUGACUGGGAUUAUGACAAGGGCAUAGCUACACUAGGGUAGCUAAAAAAUUCACCUGAGCAAACUUUCUGGGUGUCUCAGGAGCCAAGUCAGAGAGGCUGCUGUGCUAAUACUAGUAUCUAAGACUGUCCUGGUCUCUGUUUCUUUGGACAUUUAUGCAUUUUACUGUAUUCCUGUGAAGGCAUGCUCUUUGUUCCUUGCAGUUCACUGCUCUUGGAAUUCAGUUAAUUUUUAUUUUUAUUUAUUUAUUUAUUUUUUUAUUUAUUUUUUUUCUGGGAGAAAAGUCCUUGGAAACCAGAUGAACAAAGUUGCCUGCAGGUCAUCAUUCUACUGUGUGAGGCGAUCAUUUACAUAUACUAAGGUUUUAAGCAAGUCCCUGUGGAGACCACCUGAUUGAUAAUAUGGUUCCAAUUUCUGGAAUUGUCUAAUAUCCAGCCUCAGUUAGACUCUGCUUGUCUUCCCUGCCCAUUCACUCCUGCAAUUCUUUAGUAUUCAGGUAUGAUGACUCUUUUGGAAAGCUUCUUGUGGUUGACUGUUUAAGCACUUUAAGAGCUGAAAGGUAUUUAAAUGUUAUAAUGAUUCCUUAUAAUUAGAUUUACUCUUUUUAAUCAAGAAUGCAAAACAAUUUUUCUUGUGCCCAAUGAAGCUUCUGGUUGAAACGGUGAAUGUGUAAAAACAACUGAAUCUGCUCGUGCACAUUAGAAAGUCUGCAUUUGCCUUGAAUUGUUCUCAUUAUUCCCUUACAUUCUUCUUGGCUAACAAUUAUUUUUAGGGAGGAUUGCAUACAUACAUACAUACAUGUAUAUAUAUUUAUGUAUAUAAACAUGUUAUACCAAAAAUUGCAGCUGACAAGAACGUCAGCCUAGCAGUGAUGUGGCUGUUUAAUGUCAAUAGAACCAUCUGUGGUUGGGAAAAGAUUGAAAAGAAUAGUGGUAAGGAAAAAACAGUAUGAUGCUUCUGAGAAAUAUGGGGUUGCUUCUAGCAAUUGCAUUUGCAAGACUCAACACCCAUCACAG
rnacentral:lncRNA from 1 species